rnacentral:rRNA from 1 species
CAGUCGUACCUGCGGAUAAUCAGCCUUUCGGGUGCGAUUCUGUGAGGCGUGAGGAGCUUAACCGCCUUCAUGUUUUGCGUAUUCGUGCACAUUUGGUGUACUUGUCCGUGUGGUGGGUUAACAUCAAUUUCGGUCGUCAUAAAAUGAUUGGAGGAAUGUGACAGCUUGCUGUGUUAUAGCCUCUUGUCCGUACACGGUGCGUUGGGGAUUGGAGGACUGCAGCACG